UGGGGCCCUGGCGGAUGCCUAGACAUGCAAGUCGAACGAGAAGGCCUAUGGAAAAAAGAGUGCUUGCACAAAUUUGGAAAUAGUUUCCUUCUAGUGGCGCAAGGGUGAGUAACACGUGGGUUAUCUGCCUCGGAGACUGGGAUAACGUUUGGAAACGAACGCUAAUACCGGAUGAUAUAUAAAGAGAUACGUUUCUUUAUAUUAAAAGGAGCCUUUAAAGCCUCACUUCGAGAUGAGCCUGCGGCGUAUUAGUUAGUUGGUGGGGUAAUGGCCUACCAAGACGACGAUGCGUAGCCGACCUGAGAGGGUGAACGGCCACACUGGGACUGAGACACGGCCCAGACUCCUACGGGAGACAGCAGUUAGGAAUAUUCGUCAAUGGGGGAAACCCUGAACGAGCAAUGCCGCGUGAAUGAUGACGGUCCUAUGGAUUGUAAAAUUCUGUUGUUAGGGAAGAACGACCUGUAUAGGAAAUGAUACAGGAGUGACGGUACCUUUCAAGAAAGCUCCGGCUAACUACGUGCCAGCAGCCGCGGUAAUACGUAGGGAGCGAGCGUUAUCCGGAUUUAUUGGGUGUAAAGCGUGUGUAGGCGGAAAUAUAAGUCUAAGGUUUAAGCCCGGAGCUCAACUCCGGUUCGCCUUAGAAACUGUAUUUCUUGAGUAUGGUAGAGGCAAGUGGAAUUUCUAGUGUAGCGGUAAAAUGCGUAGAUAUUAGAAGGAACACCAGUGGCGAAGGCGACUUGCUGGGCCAUUACUGACGCUGAGACACGAAAGCGUGGGGAGCAAAUAGGAUUAGAUACCCUAGUAGUCCACGCCAUAAACGAUGGAUACUAAGUGUCGGGCAACCGGUGCUGAAGUUAACACAUUAAGUAUCCCACCUGAGUAGUACGGCCGCAAGGCUGAAACUCAAAGGAAUUGACGGGCACCCGCACAAGCGGUGGAGCAUGCUGUUUAAUUCGAAGAUACGCGAAAACCUUACCUGGGCUUGACAUCCCUCUGACAGUUCUAGAAAUAGAAUCUUCCUUUCGGGACAGGGGUGACAGUGGUGCAUGGUUGUCGUCAGCUCGUGUCGUGAAGAUGUUUGGUUAAGUCCAUAACGAGCGCAACCCUUAUCCUUAAUUGCUAACAUUUAGGUGGAGA
rnacentral:rRNA from 1 species